UGAGUCUUUAUGACAGAAGAGAGGUUCAUUUGAUCAUCAGAAAGGUGGUGAAUUGAGUCUUUAUGACAGAAGAGAGGUUCAUUUGAUCAUCAGAAAGGUGGUGAAUUGAGUCUUUAUGACAGAAGAGAGGUUCAUUUGAUCAUCAGAAAGGUGGUGAAUUGAGUCUUUAUGACAGAAGAGAGGUUCAUUUGAUCAUCAGAAAGGUGGUGAAUUGAGUCUUUAUGACAGAAGAGAGGUUCAUUUGAUCAUCAGAAAGGUGGUGAAUUGAGUCUUUAUGACAGAAGAGAGGUUCAUUUGAUCAUCAGAAAGGUGGUGAAUUGAGUCUUUAUGACAGAAGAGAGGUUCAUUUGAUCAUCAGAAAGGUGGUGAAUUGAGAUGAAAUAGCAGAAUGGGUGUUUUUUAUGAUGAGCUGCUGUUAGACAUAGUACUCCAAUACACCUGUCUGUAUCCAGCUGUUAACCAAUCAUAAACAUGUCUUUAAUAGGCCAAGUAAUGUUAUCUACCUUCUCUAAUAAUGUAUGACAGCGUGUAAACCAAUGCAGUAGUGUAGAGCUGUCCCUCUAACCUGUACAGUCUGUAUGAGGAAUGUCUCUAGAACCUUAUCAGUGGUCCUGGUCUUUGUAUUCAUGAUUACAUAUUGCUGUGUCACCAUGCCCAAAGGCUUAGUCAAACCAGACAGGCUGCACCAUCCUACACUCUUAUGGGUACAUACUACUGUACAUUCUCUAUCCGUCUGCCUGACUGAAAUGUUCACAUACAUAGUCCGUCUGUUGUUUUAGCCAAUAACUUGGCAGAACACUGAGGGGUUCAGUCAGCCAACCAAUGACUGAAGAAUGCAGGAUGCUGUCCUUGCUGGAAUGUUGUAGUAUAUGUCAUCAUAAGUUCAUGGGCAGAGUUUCUGUGUUCACUAUAGUUCUCAGUGAGAACGCCAUUUUAACCUUACAGGACACAGCAAGACUCCUCUUCGUCAUGUUCUUCUUCAUCCUCCUCCACUGCACCAUAUUGGUGACCUGCUGCUGGGCCCACAGACAGAACUACAGUUAUAUCUCUGACUCUGAGCCCCACCUGUGGGCUUAAGAGAGAGGAGAUGGACUUCUAACAACAACCUGGACCUCCAUGUUGCUUUGGGGCGGACUGACUCUGAGGCGUUGUGAGAGACAAUGGACAAUAAGCCCUCUAUGGCGUCCAUGUUGCUUUGGGGCGGACUGAGUGUGUGGGAAAAGUAUGCUAAUAUGGGCUUAUGCAGUCAGACAGGAACCUGUAGUUACCUAGAGACUGAGCUAGUCUAGGAACAGGAGAACGUGUUAAUGAAGUCUUGGGAGGGAGGGAUCAGGGUUAUUAUUAUUAUUAAGCCUUAAUAAAUCCACAGUAAUGAUGAUCAACCCAGUUCAUCCCUCUACUAGGCAUGUCAUCAUGUAACGCAUUCCUUCUAUACAGCAGGGGAAACAAACCCAGUCCUCCAGGGCCACUGGAAUGAUGCUCUCACUGUUGUACUCUACAGCAUACAGCUUCUGGUUAGAAAGAUGUAGGGUGAAACUAGGUGAGACAGCUGUUGUACUCUACAGCAUACAGCUUCUGGUUAGAAAGAUGUAGGGUGAAACUAGGUGAGACAGCUGUUGUACUCUACAGCAUACAGCUUCUGGUUAGAAAGAUAUAGG
ensembl:lncRNA